rnacentral:lncRNA from 1 species
ACGACAUUGAGGGACGCUUCCAAAGGCAGUCGCGUGGUAUGCGUCCUUAUAAAAUAUUAGUAGGUUAAAUGUCGGAAACUUUAUGAAUAAUUUUUCUACUAUGCGCACGUGCUAACAUUACUGGCUCAACAUCAUAGGUCGACAUCGUGUUACGAGGCAUGUCCUGCUUAUUGGGUUGUACUUCAUAGCUGCGAAAGCCCCUGGUAUUUAUGGCAUUGAAGGUCUCUGCUUCGCUGCCAGUGUGGAUGGUGGUCCAUUGGAUCACCUCUCUCAGCUACUCCUUCGAAGGACGUGUUUGCUCUGCCUGCUUGUUGUUAAUUCUCGGGCUUCGGGCUUUUUAUGAAUGAGCCUAUUGUUAUGCGCACAUGUUAACAUCUUUUGGCUCAAUAUCAUACGUAGACAUCGUUUCACGAGGCAUGUCCUGCUUGUUGGGUUGUGCUUCAUAGCUGUGAAAGCCCCUGGUAUUUAUGGCAUGGAAGAUCUCUGGCGCGCUGCAAGUGUGGAUGGUGAUCCAUUGGAUCACCUCUCUCAACUUGUAGCUUAGAUGCGGCAGGAGCAAAGCGAGUAUAGCCUCUAAGCUAGGUUAUGUACGGCAGCCGUAUGGCUUGCUGAGAAUUCGAAUUUACUAUUUCAGCUGACAGCUCCAUAGUUCCGGCAUUCUGCCUACACUAUUGGAGCUUAUUAUUAUUGUUGCUCUCACUUUUAUCCAAGACCUUACCGACUACCCUCAAGCCUCAUCGACGCUCUACCACAACGAAUCGACAUCGCCGCGGACCUGUCACUCUCCGAGGAACAACCAGGAGCUCCGUCACAAAAAUCAAAAAAUGACGGGUAAGAGGACAAAGGCAACGGGAGAUAACCUGGUCAACGCAGGAGCGGCCGAAGCAGCCGGCGAAGGGGGAUCGGGCCAGAUGCUGCCAGCCAACCAAAACGACAUAGAAGCCGCCAGGGAUACUUUGAGCGGGAACAUAGACCAGCCGACUCUUCACCAGCUGCUGCUGGGCGUCCUGUCAGCAGCGCAGGCCAACGCGCCAAAAGCGCCAGCCAGGGAUCCCCGGACAGCACCGCCUCGGGAUCGCUCUCCUGACGUUGUCAUCACNNNNNNNNNNNNNNNNNNNNNNNNNNNNNNNNNNNNNNNNNNNNNNNNNNUUAUUAUAAAGCGGGAGUGGGAGAUGGUCUUUACUGCAUGGUUAGUACUACCACAUAAACGUCGGCGUUGCUGCCUAUUUGAAGUCGACUUAAUGACAUUCUGGUAGCUGUUUGAAUGGCUUUCUUAAACCAGAGCGUGCCUGCCGUAAACCUAUCAAGCAAUAUUUUACAGCUAUUCUCUGCUUCCAUGAUUCUAGAAGAAAGUCAGAGACUUACCGAAGCUGUUAUGCUUACGUAAUGGUUCCACCAAAUGAUUUUUGCGUUACAUGUCCGGUGGGCCCACUCCACGCCACUCAUUGAACACGGGUCCCACCUCGCUGUCCUUCGCAGGGGCCAUACACCCCACCAAUCGACAUGGCCGGACGUCGUGUGAAUCAGCAGAGUCGUUCAUUGACGUUGGCGAAGGAGAGGUUAACAGUAUCUCUAGCCAGCACGUAGGAAAUUACUUUGGAGGGUGGCGGGAACAUGCUGAACAUGGGAACAUGCGGGAACAUGCUGAACAUGUGCUCUGGGCGGCCGCGGUCUGGCUAUGAAAUGUGAGACUGCCGUUGGGAGGGUGUUGGGCUGCUGUUACUUGGUCGUUGAUCGUUGGCCGUUGUAAUAUUCGGCAUGUUUUCAUGGCUUCCAUCUCAAUCAAUUCCCGCAGCGUACGCUGCUCUGCUGCCUUGUGACUGGCAGGCAGGCGUGAUUUCCUCGCGGGAUACCAUUUUUCCUUUGCGAACAGCUAGUGCGUGCGGACUGCAUGCAAUGCUCCUGACUAUUCAAGCCCCUCCACAAAUGGAAAGACCUCGACUGAUGGGUUGUGAGCAGUCGUAACGGCUGCUCACUGACGGAAGCACGACAAAGCGCAAGGGAUUAACCGAGGCGAAUACCGAGGCGGAUAGGAAAGCGAGACAGUGUAACGGCGCAUGCUCUUUACGCUGCCUGAACAGGCACCGAAUGCGCUGACCAACGGCCACUAUUCUAAGUGCGCAGCAGCGCCGCGUCCUCUUCCUAACGCCAGUUUGUUUCCACGUGCACCACAUUACAUAAACUCCCGCCGCAUAUACGUACGUGUUCCAUCACAUCGUCAGCUCUCUCCAUCACUUUCACCCGCAGAUCGGGAUCUACUGCCGCACUCAAAUCUCUAUAUUUUAUUUGAACUUGUCCUAAGGGUAAAAGAAGACCUAGAGCCUUGGGGGAGGCCUACCUGCUCAGGGAUCACAUCUAUCCUGGAAACAAAUAAAGCUGCUAUGACUGAGAAAGGUAAUUGUAACGACAACCAACCCGGGAGCAAGCGAACCGAAAUUGCUUCAAUCCAACUCUUAAGGAAGUUUUCAUUUAACUCGGAAAUUUUCUUAGGAGCAAAGGGAGGCAAGAAAAUCCGCACACUGACGCAGUCAUCGUAACACACAUCCUCAUUAGGAGAACGUCGGGAAUCGACGGGAGAGCGAAGGACGGAAGGCGCGACGCGCAUACGGCCGAUGCCUGCCGCAAAGACAAUCAGAGCAGAGCCAGGCCGUACUAACUUCACUGGACACAAACCCUCAGCUAGUACGCUUAUACAAAAACGAUGAGGCCAGAGGGGUGCAAAGUGGUCCUAAUCCUCUAAUCCAGGGGGUGGGUACCGGUCAGCAAUCCUCUAAUCUCAACAGGGGUGGACCACUUCUAAUCCCUAAUCCAGAGUGGUGGUCUAAUCCAUAUCCUAGGGUCGGGGUUCUAAUCCUAAUCCUGUGGCCGGGUCCCAAUCCCAAUCCUGGGGGGGGUCCCAAUCCUAAUCCUGGGGCCGGACCGUAUUCCUAACUCUGAGGCUGGGGUCCCAAUCCGAAUCCUCUUGGUCGUGUCGUAAUCCUUAUCGUGGAGCUGUUAUCGUGUGACUGAUUCGGUAAAACCUUAAUUUCGGCUGGGGGGCCCAAUCCUAAUAGAAGGGUGCCGUGACACGGAAACACACAGUGCCAUACAGGCGCGAGGCGAUGGCAAUGCAAGUGCGUAAAAAACCAAUGCAAUUUUACAGCGGGUAUAUGAUCAAACGAAGUAAAACUUGAAACAUAAAAAGCAGGCUGACGAAGCUGCGCAUCCUGGCCAUUUCUGCAGUAUCGUGCCAUACGAAGAGUUUAAGCAGGGAUACUGCGUCUAAACACCUUGAUUCAAGCAUCUGCAGAUGCGACUGUGGGGCGGUCGAAGAUGAAAUGCACGUUGAGAGAGGUGAUCCAAUCCACACUUGCAGCGUUGAGAGAGGUGAUCCAAUCCACACUUGGAUCACCAUCCACACUUGCAGCGCGCCAGAGAUCUUCCAUGCCAUAAAUACCAGGGGCUUUCACAGCUAUGAAGCACAACCCAACAAGCAGGACAUGCCUCGUGAAACGAUGUCUACGUAUGAUAUUGAGCCAAAAGAUGUUAACAUGUGCGCAUAACAAUAGGCUCAUUCAAAAAAAGCCCGAAGCCCGAGAAUUAACAACAAGCAGGCAGAGCAAACACGUCCUUGGAAGGAGUAGCUGAGAGAGGUGAUCCAAUGGACCACCAUCCACAAUGGCAGCGAAGCAGAGACCUUCAAUGCCAUAAAUACCAGGGGCUUUCGCAGCUAUGAAGUACAACCCAAUAAGCAGGACAUGCCUCGUAACACGAUGUCGACCUAUGAUGUUGAGCCAGUAAUGUUAGCACGUGCGCAUAGUAGAAAAAUUAUUCAUAAAGUUUCCGACAUUUAACCUACUAAUAUUUUAUAAGGACGCAUACCACGCGACUGCCUUUGGAAGCGUCCCUCAAUGUCGUGCAGUUGGUUCCGGAGGAGGCGCGGACGCCAUCCAUACGUCUUCGUGUCUAGACCGUCCUCGUCAAUUUUUGCAGAUUGUUUUAUCGCAAUUUUACUGAUCAGCAGACGCCUGUCA